rnacentral:rRNA from 1 species
UCGGGAAUUUUGGGCAAUGGGCGAAAGCCUGACCCAGCAACGCCGCGUGAAGGAUGAAGUAUUUCGGUAUGUAAACUUCGUAAGAAUAGGAAGAAUAAAUGACGGUACUAUUUGUAAGGUCCGGCUAACUACGUGCCAGCAGCCGCGGUAAUACGAGGGGUGCAAGCGUUGCUCGGAAUUAUUGGGCGUAAAGGGUGUGUAGGUUGUCUCGUUUGUCUGAGGUGAAAUCCCCGAGCUUAACUUGGGAAGUGCCUUAGAAACGGCGAGACUAGAGUUCUUGAGAGGGUAGUGGAAUUCCCGGUGUAGCGGUGAAAUGCGUAGAGAUCGGGAGGAACAUCAGAGGCGAAGGCGACUACCUGGAAAGAUACUGACACUAAAGCACGAAAGCGUGGGGAGCAAACAGGAUUAGAUACCCUUGUAGUCCCUGAGCGGGCUGGCAAGGCGCAU